rnacentral:tRNA from 1 species
GGUGAGAUGGCCGAGCGGUCUAAGGCGCCAGACUAAGGAUCAAGGCAUGUGAUGUCUAAGCUAUCUGGUCCGAAAGGGCGUGGGUUCGAAUCCCACUCUCAUCA